rnacentral:tRNA from 1 species
GCCCUGAUGGCGGAAUUGGUAGACGCGACGGUCUCAAACACCGUUGGAGCAAUCCUUACCGGUUCGAUCCCGGUUCAGGGCA